UUUGUCGUGUUGUCGAUGGUUUUGCUUCCGUUGUGAGUUAUAUAAUUUAGAUGUGAUAUAUUUAAUACUUACAUUAACAAUGAUCUCCUGUACAGUGUAUAAUAUGAGAAAUGUUUUAUUUAUCUUUUUACGCAGUUCGAGCUCGAGAUGGAAUUACAGUUCAUUUAAUGCCUGGUCGUCGGAAAAUAGUGCGGUCCUGGGUUUUAUGAAAUGAAGCCUUGUCUUUGAAAUUUAAUUUUAAGUUGAAACCUCUAUCUUAAGUGCAGUAGUUGAAAAAAAAAACUAUCUGUGAUAUUCGCAUUUGGUAGUCUAAUUUUUAGUUGAGGUUUUUUGAUUUGCACAUUCCAAAACAAACGGUUGUAGGAUCUUUCGUUAAUAGUGUUAGGAGCCACUUGACGUGAAUCUGGUAUAGUUCUAAUUUUCGUUUUUCUCAUACUUUCCUAUUCUCACUGAGUGCUCUGUUGUACCAAAUGCGAAUAACGUAUUGUUAUUUUCAUUUAAACACUGCUGCACUUAAGGUGGAUAGAGAAUUUAUGUAUUUUACUACAUUACAUAUAUAUAUAAAUGUAGCUUUAUACUGAAUAUGUUAUGAAAUAUUUUUAAAUAUUAUUGAUUGUAUACAGACAUGGAAAUUGA